rnacentral:rRNA from 1 species
CAGUAGUCAUAUGCUUGUCUCAAAGAUUAAGCCAUGCAUGUCUAAGUAUAAGCAAUUAUACAGCGAAACUGCGAAUGGCUCAUUAUAUGAAGUUAUCGUUUAUUUGAUAGUACCUUACUACUUGGAUAACCGUGGUAAUUCUAGUAGCUAAUACAUGCUAAAAAUCCCGACUUCGGAAGGGAUGUAUUUAUUAGAUUAAAAACCAAUGCCCUUCGGGGCUCACUGGUGAUUCAUGAUAACUCCUCGAAUCGCAUGGCCUUGCGCCGGCGAUGGUUCAUUCAAAUUUCUUCCCUAUCAACUUUCGAUGUUUGGGUAUUGGCCAAACAUGGUUGCAACGGGUAACGGAGGGUUAGGGCUCGACCCCGGAGAAGGAGCCUGAGAAACGGCUACUACAUCCAAGGAAGGCAGCAGGCGCGCAAAUUACCCAAUCCCGACACGGGGAGGUAGUGACAAUAAAUACUGAUACAGGGCUCUUUUGGGUCUUGUAAUUGGAAUGAGUACAAUUUAAAUCCCUUAACGAGGAACAAUUGGAGGGCAAGUCUGGU